AUUGAACGCUGGCGGCAUGCUUUACACAUGCAAGUCGAACGGUAACAGGCCGCAAGGUGCUGACGAGUGGCGAACGGGUGAGUAAUGCAUCGGAACGUGCCCAGUCGUGGGGGAUAACGCAGCGAAAGCUGUGCUAAUACCGCAUACGAUCUAUGGAUGAAAGCGGGGGACCGUAAGGCCUCGCGCGAUUGGAGCGGCCGAUGUCAGAUUAGGUAGUUGGUGGGGUAAAGGCCUACCAAGCCGACGAUCUGUAGCGGGUCUGAGAGGACGACCAGCCACACUGGGACGGAGACACGGCCCAGACUCCUACGGGAGGCAGCAGUGGGGAAUUUUGGACAAUGGGCGCAAGCCUGAUCCAGCAAUGCCGCGUGCAGGAAGAAGGCCUUCGGGUUGUAAACUGCUUUUGUACGGAACGAAACGGUCUGGGUUAAUACCCUGGGCUAAUGACGGUACCGUAAGAAUAAGCACCGGCUAACUACGUGCCAGCAGCCGCCGUAAAAC
rnacentral:rRNA from 1 species